GGUCAAGGAACAAUCAAAUUGCAUGUGGUGUACAAUGUAUUGGAGAUUGGAGUAACCAUUUUGUGUCGAAGAGAAAUUAUCAUGUCCCAAGGAUGAUCGUUGGAUUAAGUCUCUAAAUGAUAGUAUCUUAGAAGACACAACACAUCUGUUAUAUGGUAUGAUACAUUGUGAUGGGAUUGGGCAUUUGCUAUGCAUCAAUAGACUUAGAGGGGGUUCUAAGCAUCUUCGCGGCAGAGAGAUCAUGGAUCUUUGGGAUCAGAUUUGCAUAAAUCUUCGAACCAGUUACUAUCAAAGAGCUUGAUUACUACACAUAUCCAAUGAUCAACAAUAGACUCAUUGUGCUAUAAAGAUUGUCAGCAAUACAGACUAUAAAAACACAGGCA